rnacentral:rRNA from 1 species
UACGUAGGGUGCAAGCGUUGUCCGGAAUUAUUGGGCGUAAAGAGCUCGUAGGCGGUUUGUCGCGUCUGCUGUGAAAACCUCAGGCUCAACCUGGGGCUUGCAGUGGGUACGGGCAGACUAGAGUGCGGUAGGGGUGACUGGAAUUCCUGGUGUAGCGGUGGAAUGCGCAGAUAUCAGGAGGAACACCGAUGGCGAAGGCAGGUCACUGGGCCGCAACUGACGC